rnacentral:rRNA from 1 species
UACGUAGGGCGCAAGCGUUAUCCGGAAUUAUUGGGCGUAAAGGGCUCGUAGGCGGUUUGUCGCGUCGGGAGUGAAAACUCAGGGCUUAACCCUGAGCCUGCUUCCGAUACGGGCAGACUAGAGGUAUGCAGGGGAGAACGGAAUUCCUGGUGUAGCGGUGAAAUGCGCAGAUAUCAGGAAGAACACCCGUGGCGAAAGCGGCUCUCUGGAACGGUACUGACGCUGAGACGCGAAAGCGUGGGGAGCGAACAGG